rnacentral:rRNA from 1 species
AGUGAACGCUGGCGGCGUGCUUAACACAUGCAAGUCGAACGAGAACGGAAUAUAGCUUGCUAUAUUUGUCAGCUAAGUGGCGCACGGGUGAGUAAUGUAUAGAUAACCUGCCCUUAAGAAAGGAAUAACAGUUGGAAACGACUGCUAAUGCCCUAUAUGCCUUUAAUACAUAAGUAUGCAAGGGAAACGCUUUAGUGCUUAAGGAUGGGUCUGUAUGGUAUCAGCUUGUUGGUGAGGUGAUGGCUCACCAAGGCUAUGACGCCUAACUGGUUUGAGAGUAUGAUCAGUCACACUGGAACUGAGACUCGGUCCAGUCUCAUACGGGAGGCAGCAGUGGUGAAUAUUGCACAAUGGACGAAAGUCUGAUGCAGCCACGCCGCGUGGAGGAUGACACAUUUCGGUGCGUCAACUCCUUUUAUCUAGGAAGAUAAUGACGGUACUAUAUGAAUAAGCACCGGCUAACUCCGUGCCAGCCGCCGCCGUAA